AUGUAUUCUUCAUCAGGAAACCUAGAACAUAGAAUCACCUUUUUUUCCAAAAGGGACAACAACACAGAACCCAGGAAAGUUAAACAGUAUAAAAGUGUUUUCUAUUGUGGAAGAUGGCUUGAUUGUGUGAGAAUAAGCUUAAACUGCAUAUUCAUGUUUAAACUGCACUUGUUUACAAGCCACUUGAGAAUCACACAGUCCUGUGAAAGGUUUUGCAGUGUUGUCAUCAGUGCAAACAAAUGCUCUCCGUGCUUACCCUGGGCAAUGUCAGUGCUGGUAACAGCACAGCCUUGUACAGAGCUUGGACAAAAAGCAAGGAUGCUUCCUGUGUGA
rnacentral:lncRNA from 1 species